GACGUCAUCUGCAGGCCCUGGAGACGCGACUGCAGUUACCGAGUUUCUAAGGCCUCGUCCCCUGACGGGAAGGCGGCGUUGGGGGGCGGCUGGGUUUACCCUUCGAGAUCUCUGAUGGAUUUGUUGACUCCUCUGUGGGAGAAAGGCUUGGUCUACUGCAGGUGUUAACGCUAAGCCAGGCUGGAGCUGUGGACGUCAGUUUCCUCAGCUCCCCGCUGUUCGCUUCGAACGUGACCUCGACGUCUGCUCUCCCCUUCCCUUUAGCUGACAAUGUGACAGUGCUUGAAUAAAAGUCAGUCUGACAGGAACGGU
rnacentral:lncRNA from 1 species